rnacentral:lncRNA from 1 species
AUUACUCUGAGAUACACUUAUUGAUGUACUUGUAAAUUCAUAGCAGGAAGUGAAAUCUCGUUUUGUCUUCUGAGAGGGAAACUCUAGAAAGUAGAGAUCACAAAUCUCUAUAUGACUCAACAGUUCAAGGCUUGUUAAAAAAUAAAGGAUGUACCUUUAAAUAGAGUUGUGGUCAAACACACUGAGUUAUAAGUUAAAAGUUUUUCUUUCAUAAAAUCACAGCCUGGAGGAAGUAGACUACUUAGGAAACAGUUUAGCCUCUUAUAAUAAAAAUGUAAGGAAAUUGCUCUCCUGGCCCACCUGGUCUUCCUCCUGGCCUUCCCUUUACCUAACCUCUUCUCUUCUAAUUAGACGGACCACUUGAGUACACAAUCUUAGGGAGUCUUUUCUAACAAGCCCUGGUCUCUCCAAGAACCGAGAGGAGUGUGACAAAGCUGGAAGGGAGUUAUAAAAACAAAGCCGGUCUUCUGUCUCUCCUCUUCUUUCAUUGUUUACCUUAAUUAACCAAUAUUUGAGUUUAAAAUCUUUUCUAAUUUCUUUUAGAUGCUUUCCAGUUGCUCUUAUGUUAUAACAUAUUGAAUAUUUUUUUGUAAUGAUAUGAAACAGAAUACAUUUCUUAAAUCAUAUCCAUCUGAGAAUCUCUAGAAAUUCUACAUGUAUGACUUCACAAAACUACUUGGUGUUUCUGGGCUUUCUUAACUUUCAGGGAUUCUAAAGUGUAGCCAUUUAUUUCACUGUCAGGAAACAAACUGAAAACGAAUAGUUUCACUACAAAUCGGUGCAUACUAAAACAGAAUACCAGGCAACCGCAAACAAGAAUGAAGAGGUUCUUUUUGUACCAAUGUGGAAAAAUUGGUCUUUCUCUGUUAUUCAGGCUGGAGUGCAGUGGUGCCAUCACAGCUCACGGCAGCCUGAACCUCCAGCUCUCAACUGAUCCUCCCACCUCAGUCUUCCAAGUAGCUAGGACAACAGAGAUGGGGUGUCACUACGUUGACCAGGCUGCUUUUGAACUCCCGGCUUCAAGCGAUCCUCCCACCUUGUCCUCCCAAAGUACUUGGAUUACAGGUAUGAGCCACCACACCAUGCUGACUUUACUUCUUGAUGGGAUGAAUAUCAUCACAUAGUAACGACAGCAUGUGGGAUGGGAGAUAUUGUUGGAGCCAUCUUCAGAAAAUGCAGUCUGCCAAAAUAUAUCUCCCAAAGAGAAACACUGCAAUCUCUAUGAGAAAUCUGUUGCUAAAAGUAAAGAGAUAUACCCCA